UUACCUACGGGGGGCAGCAGUAGGGAAUUUUCGUCAAUGGGCGCAAGCCUGAACGAGCGAUGCCGCGUGAGUGAAGAAGGCCUUCGGGUCGUAAAGCUCUGUUGCGGGGGAAAAAAGGCAGCAUCAGGAAAUGGGUGCUGACUGAUGGUGCCCCGCCAGAAAGUCACGGCUAACUACGUGCCAGCAGCCGCGGUAAUACGUAGGGAGCAAGCGUUGUCCGGAAUUACUGGGCGUAAAGGGCGCGUAGGUGGGCGCUUAAGUCAGGUGUGAAAACUCCGGGCUCAACCUGGAGAC
rnacentral:rRNA from 1 species